GGGUGUCUAACUCGGUGUUACGGUGUGUUUGACCCUAAAUCAAUUUCACGCUGGAAUAUCCCUUUAAAGGUUAUAUAUGGAUGUGGUUUUGGGGCUAAAUCAUGAAAUAGAGUUUUUGUUUCUUGUCCCUGUCUUCAAAGAGCAACUUUUAAAACAGUAAAAAAAAUCAGACACAUGCUCACACAACAACCUUUUAGUGAACAUGAUGCUCUUAAUCUCUCCGUUUGAUGCACACAGUUACUGAAAUGCACAAUCAUAACUCGGCGUGAGCCUGAAUUUAGAAACAUGUGGAUAAAUGUUUUUUGGGGCUGAGUGAACACAGCCAGAGUUUUGAUGCCUCAUGAGAUGUUGCGGUACACCGCCAGAGUUAACAAUUUUGUUUCGCUGAAUUCCUGCUGUUUGUUAGUUUUUGCUCAGUGAAUGGAAGUAAACUCUUGUGUCAGAGUCACAAGAGCAGAAUAAAGGAAUGGAGACCCUCCUCGACUGUCACUGCAGGCCUGACUUUACUCUGAUGCCAACUGCUCCUCCUGGGAGAUGCCAUGUUUGCUGCAAGUAUACAAUUGUAAACUUCAUUAUAAUGACUACUGUGCGCUUGCCAAGCUUUGCUGCCAGCCAGCGGGGGUGUACUGACUUUCUGUCAUUUGAAGGAAUAAACAUUUUAACAGUUAAAUCCCAGAAAGUGACUUUUUUGGGAAAAGGUACAACCACUUUUUUUUUCCUGUUUAGGAAUGUAAAGGAGGAAAAAACUUGGAGGAAGUGGACUGAGAAAAGAGCUGCACGCCCAAAAACCGAGGAAUUUAUUUCUGGACGUUCAAAACAAUUGCAACAGCAACCUGCGGCGAGGCGGCGGGACGAAGACUGAUUUUGAGAAACAAAGAGGGUCUGUGUUUCGAGAGAGAGAGAGAGAGAGAGAGAGAGAGAGAGAGAGAGAGAGAGAGAGAGAGAGAGAGAGAGAGAGAGAGAGAGAGAGAGAGAGAAUAGCUUGUUAGUGUGAGAGUGACCUUUUCCCUCAGGUGUUGAGACGUUUCCUCACUCCUCUGCUGUCUUUAAGAAAAUAUCAGUUCACUCUCACCGUCUCCACUCCUGUGAUCUUCACUAAGCCUCAAUACCUGCCAGAACUUUAUCAGUAAUAUUCAGCCAUAUGAGAAGGCCAUGAUUGAUCGACUGUACUUUUAUAAACACACACACACACACACACACACCCACACACACACACACAGAGAGGGCAGUCUGGCCAGCGCAGCCAUGUAAGUCACCCUCCUUCUUUUAAACCUACAUAAAUCUUCGUUUUAGUAAGUAGUGGCUGUAAAAAAGGUUGAAUGUGAGCCAGUCUCAGAGGCCACUGGCAGUCAUCAGCUUUCAUUGUCUUGAUGCUAUUCAACCAUUGCCAACUUUCCAGUAAUUCAUGUGUAGCCGGUGGUUUGUUUUUAAACUUUUGUCCAUUAUAUCCCAAAAGAAGUGCCUGUCCGUCUGUUUUAAAUCAGUCCAGAUUCAACAAUUGAUAUUAAAACGUACGAUUAUCACACACAGAGUCCUAACUCUGACUCACUCCUGCGGUAUGACCCCCAAAAAGCCGCCCUGUUGUCUUAUUUACUUAUGGGUCUUAAAUCAGGUCAAACAACAGUAUCAUGAUUAAGAUGUGCAGAAAAUAGAGAAAUGUAGACCCAUGUUUGACUUUUUAAUGUCAAACCCAUAGACUGUACAUACUAUGGACAAAUUGGUUCCGCCUUCAGUCAAUAUACGGAUUUGAAGCCAAAAAGCUCUCUGUAUUUCUGAUUUUUCUCCAAUCCUGAAACCAAUAUUGUGCAGAAGUAUGCACUCCAGCAUUAUACGCAUGGCGCUCGGCUCAAACAGCGUAUCCCCCAGUGAGCUACGUAUCUUCGUACACACAUAGGCUGAAUCAAGUGUCAAUCAUGGAAAACAUGAACCCCCUAAUAACUUUUAAAAAAGGAGCUGCAAAGAAAAAAAGAGGACUUGAGCACAAACCAGUCUGACAGUAACUACAUGUCAACAUCACAACAAACAUUUAUACUCUGUGUAAUAAAUUUAUAAAGUUUGUCCACAGCUCCAUAGGAAUUGCUGGAGGAGGCGGGAUUUAUGACCUAUACUGCAGCCCGCCACCAGAGGGUGCUGUUCUCGCAGUGGCUUCACACAGCGAGGAGGCAGACAGCGUUCAUUCUAUAUACAGUCUAUGGUCAAAUAUGGGUCAAACGGUUAAAUUUUAAUUGUUAGGGCCAAUAUGUAACAAUGACCCA